GAUGAACGCUGGCGGCGUGCCUAAUACAUGCAAGUCGAGCGAACAGACGAGGAGCUUGCUCCUCUGACGUUAGCGGCGGACGGGUGAGUAACACGUGGAUAACCUACCUAUAAGACUGGGAUAACUUCGGGAAACCGGAGCUAAUACCGGAUAAUAUAUUGAACCGCAUGGUUCAAUAGUGAAAGACGGUUUUGCUGUCACUUAUAGAUGGAUCCGCGCCGCAUUAGCUAGUUGGUAAGGUAACGGCUUACCAAGGCAACGAUGCGUAGCCGACCUGAGAGGGUGAUCGGCCACACUGGAACGGAGACACGGUCCAGACUCCUACGGGAGGCAGCAGUAGGAAUCUUCCGCAAUGGGCGAAAGCUUGACGGAGCAACGCCGCGUGAGUGAUGAAGGUCUUCGGAUCGUAAAACUCUGUUAUUAGGGAAGAACAAAUGUGUAAGUAACUAUGCACGUCUUGACGGUACCUAAUCAGAAAGCCACGGCUAACUACGUG
rnacentral:rRNA from 1 species